ACUACGGGAGGCAGCAGUGAGGAAUAUUGGUCAAUGGGCGCGAGCCUGAACCAGCCAAGUAGCGUGAAGGAUGACUGCCCUACGGGUGGUAAACUCCUUUUAUAAAGGAAUAAAGUGAGGAACGUGUGCAGUUUUGUAUGUACUUUAUGAAUAAGGAUCGGCUAACUCCGUGCCAGCAGCCGCGGUAAUACGGAGGAUCCGAGCGUUAUCCGGAUUUAGUGGGUUUAAAGGGAGCGUAGAUGGGUUGUUAAGUCAGUUGUGAAAGUUUGCGGCUCAACCGUAAAAUUGCAAUUGAUACUGACAGCCUUUGGUACAGUUGGGGUAGGCGGAAUUCGUGGUGUAGCGGUGAAAUGCU
rnacentral:rRNA from 1 species